rnacentral:lncRNA from 1 species
UUAAGAUCUUUAUAGUUUCAAGGAUUGACUAGAUUAUUUAAUUUUACAGAUUGCCUAUUAUAUAAAAGUUUGCUUUGUAUUGUUUUUAUUCAUUCAACCCUUUUAAUAAAAAUCUACUUUUUAAAUUUGUUGAAUCCUUUGUUCUUUGGAACAUCGUAAUGCUACGAGAGUGAUCUCCGUAAGCACGGUCUUGUUCACUAGUGGGGCUGCCUCUCACGGACUAAGACCAACCCAGCAAGUAUCUGGCCUUCCGCAGCCUUAUACUGAAGAACCAUCGAUCCACCUUUCCUUUAAUCCAUCUUUGGGUCAAAGUUUAUCCUUUUCACCAACCUUCGAGUGCAUUCCUUGGGAGAUUUUCUAUUAUUUGGUAUCAGAGCACAAGAGAAAACAAGAGAUCAUUCCAUCUGAAGUUAAAUCGAGACUGCUCCUCCAUCUCUCGUAAUGGCUCUAGGAGAUUGCUUCUCCGAAAGCAACCUGUUUUGAUCACUAGUGGGGCUGCCUCUCACGGUCACAGGUUCUAAACAUUAUGUCGGAUUUGAGGGCAAAUCCUUUUGAAGGAGGAGGGGAUGAUGUGACCUUGUUCAGGAACAAGCAAAUCAAGAGAUGUCCAAAAAAAAGAAAGGCUCACCAAGAAAAUACAAGCCAAUGUCGUAUAAUAUAUCAAUCUGACGGCAAUUCAGAGACCGUCGAUCAUGCAAAAGGAUGCGACCAGCCAAGGAAUUCUGCGAACACAAUUUCCAAAAUUCAGUCAACAGUCUUGGUCUUUGGUCAAGUCAAUAUUCCUAGUCAAGUCUUCAUAGUUUUAAGAUCUUUAUAGUUUCAAGGAUUGACUAGAUUAUUUAAUUUUACAGAUUGCCUAUUAUAUAAAAGUUUGCUUUGUAUUGUUUUUAUUCAUUCAACCCUUUUAAUAAAAAUCUACUUUUAAAUUUGUUGAAUCCUUUGUUCUUUGGAACAUCGUAAUGCUACGAGAGUGAUCUCCGUAAGCACGGUCUUGUUCACUAGUGGGGCUGCCUCUCACGGACUAAGACCAACCCAGCAAGUAUCUGGCCUUCCGCAGCCUUAUACUGAAGAACCAUCGAUCCACCUUUCCUUUAAUCCAUCUUUGGGUCAAAGUUUAUCCUUUUCACCAACCUUCGAGUGCAUUCCUUGGGAGAUUUUCUAUUAUUUGGUAUCAGAGCACACUUGAGGGUUCGGUGUUCACUUCUGUCAUUCAUCAUUCUCAUCUUUCCAUCUUCUACAAAAAAAAAAAAAAAAAAAUCCACGAGAAAACAAGAGAUCAUUCCAUCUGAAGUUAAAUCGAGACUGCUCCUCCAUCUCUCGUAAUGGCUCUAGGAGAUUGCUUCUCCGAAAGCAACCUGUUUUGAUCACUAGUGGGGCUGCCUCUCACGGUCACAGGUUCUAAACAUUAUGUCGGAUUUGAGGGCAAAUCCUUUUGAAGGAGGAGGGGAUGAUGUGACCUUGUUCAGGAACAAGCAAAUCAAGAGAUGUCCAAAAAAAAGAAAGGCUCACCAAGAAAAUACAAGCCAAUGUCGUAUAAUAUAUCAAUCUGACGGCAAUUCAGAGACCGUCGAUCAUGCAAAAGGAUGCGACCAGCCAAGGAAUUCUGCGAACACAAUUUCCAAAAUUCAGUCAACAGUCUUGGUCUUUGGUCAAGUCAAUAUUCCUAGUCAAGUCUUCAUAGUUUUAAGAUCUUUAUAGUUUCAAGGAUUGACUAGAUUAUUUAAUUUUACAGAUUGCCUAUUAUAUAAAAGUUUGCUUUGUAUUGUUUUUAUUCAUUCAACCCUUUUAAUAAAAAUCUACUUUUUAAAUUUGUUGAAUCCUUUGUUCUUUGGAACAUCGUAAUGCUACGAGAGUGAUCUCCGUAAGCACGGUCUUGUUCACUAGUGGGGCUGCCUCUCACGGACUAAGACCAACCCAGCAAGUAUCUGGCCUUCCGCAGCCUUAUACUGAAGAACCAUCGAUCCACCUUUCCUUUAAUCCAUCUUUGGGUCAAAGUUUAUCCUUUUCACCAACCUUCG